rnacentral:rRNA from 1 species
AUGGGAGAGUUUGAUCCUGGCUCAGGACGAACGCUGGCGGCGUGCCUAAUACAUGCAAGUAGAACGCUGAAGAGAGGAGCUUGCUCUUCUUGGAUGAGUUGCGAACGGGUGAGUAACGCGUAGGUAACCUGCCUUGUAGCGGGGGAUAACUAUUGGAAACGAUAGCUAAUACCGCAUAACAAUGGAUGACACAUGUCAUUUAUUUGAAAGGGGCAAUUGCUCCACUACAAGAUGGACCUGCGUUGUAUUAGCUAGUAGGUGAGGUAACGGCUCACCUAGGCGACGAUACAUAGCCGACCUGAGAGGGUGAUCGGCCACACUGGGACUGAGACACGGCCCAGACUCCUACGGGAGGCAGCAGUAGGGAAUCUUCGGCAAUGGGGGCAACCCUGACCGAGCAACGCCGCGUGAGUGAAGAAGGUUUUCGGAUCGUAAAGCUCUGUUGUAAGUCAAGAACGAGUGUGAGAGUGGAAAGUUCACACUGUGACGGUAGCUUACCAGAAAGGGACGGCUAAGUACGUGCCAGCAGCCGCGGUAAUACGUAGGUCCCGAGCGUUGUCCGGAUUUAUUGGGCGUAAAGCGAGCGCAGGCGGUUUCAUAAGUCUGAAGUUAAAGGCUGUGGCUCAACCAUAGUUCGCUUUGGAAACUGUCAAACUUGAGUGCAGAAGGGGAGAGUGGAAUUCCAUGUGUAGCGGUGAAAUGCGUAGAUAUAUGGAGGAACACCGGAGGCGAAAGCGGCUCUCUGGUCUGUAACUGACGCUGAGGCUCGAAAGCGUGGGGAGCGAACAGGAUUAGAUACCCUGGUAGUCCACGCCGUAAACGAUGAGUGCUAGGUGUUGGAUCCUUUCCGGGAUUCAGUGCCGCAGCUAACGGAUUAAGCACUCCGCCUGGGGAGUACGACCGCAAGGUUGAAACUCAAAGGAAUUGACGGGGGCCCGCACAAGCGGUGGAGCAUGUGGUUUAAUUCGAAGCAACGCGAAGAACCUUACCAGGUCUUGACAUCCCGAUGCUAUUUCUAGAGAUAGAAAGUUACUUCGGUACAUCGGUGACAGGUGGUGCAUGGUUGUCGUCAGCUCGUGUCGUGAGAUGUUGGGUUAAGUCCCGCAACGAGCGCAACCCCUAUUGUUAGUUGCCAUCAUUCAGUUGGGCACUCUAGCGAGACUGCCGGUAAUAAACCGGAGGAAGGUGGGGAUGACGUCAAAUCAUCAUGCCCCUUAUGACCUGGGCUACACACGUGCUACAAUGGUUGGUACAACGAGUUGCGAGUCGGUGACGGCAAGCUAAUCUCUUAAAGCCAAUCUCAGUUCGGAUUGUAGGCUGCAACUCGCCUACAUGAAGUCGGAAUCGCUAGUAAUCGCGGAUCAGCACGCCGCGGUGAAUACGUUCCCGGGCCUUGUACACACCGCCCGUCACACCACGAGAGUUUGUAACACCCGAAGUCGGUGAGGUAACCUUUUGGAGCCAGCCGCCUAAGGUGGGAUAGAUGAUUGGGGUGAAGUCGUAACAAGGUAGCCGUAUCGGAAGGUGCGGCUGGAUCACU